GGGGGCAUAGCUCAGUUGGUAGAGCGCCUGCUUUGCAAGCAGGAUGUCAGGAGUUCGAAUCUCCUUGCCUCCACCA
rnacentral:tRNA from 2 species